rnacentral:rRNA from 1 species
UACGUAGGGGGCAAGCGUUAUCCGGAAUUACUGGGUGUAAAGGGUGAGUAGGCGGCAUGGUAAGCCAGAUGUGAAAGCCUUGGGCUUAACCCGAGGAUUGCAUUUGGAACUAUCAAGCUAGAGUACAGGAGAGGAAAGCGGAAUUCCUAGUGUAGUGGUGAAAUGCGUAGAUAUUAGGAAGAACACCAGUGGCGAAGGCGGCUUUCUGGACUGAAACUGACGCUGAGGCACGAAAGCGUGGGGAGCGAACAGG